rnacentral:rRNA from 1 species
GAACGCUGGCGGCAGGCCUAACACAUGCAAGUCGAACGGUAACAGGAAGAGCUUGCUUCUUUGCUGACGAGUGGCGGACGGGUGAGUAAUGUCUGGGAAACUGCCUGAUGGAGGGGGAUAACUACUGGAAACGGUAGCUAAUACCGCAUAACGUCGCAAGACCAAAGAGGGGGACCUUCGGGCCUCUUGCCAUCGGAUGUGCCCAGAUGGGAUUAGCUGUAGGUGGGGUAACGGCUCACCUAGGCGACGAUCCCUAGCUGGUCUGAGAGGAUGACCAGCCACACUGGAACUGAGACACGGUCCAGACUCCUACGGGAGGCAGCAGUGGGGAAUAUUGCACAAUGGGCGCAAGCCUGAUGCAGCCAUGCCGCGUGUAUGAAGAAGGCCUUCGGGUUGUAAAGUACUUUCAGCGGGGAGGAAGGGAGUAAAGUUAAUACCUUUGCUCAUUGACGUUACCCGCAGAAGAAGCACCGGCUAACUCCGUGCCAGCAGCCGCGGUAAUACGGAGGGUGCAAGCGUUAAUCGGAAUUACUGGGCGUAAAGCGCACGCAGGCGGUUUGUUAAGUCAGAUGUGAAAUCCCCGGGCUCAACCUGGGAACUGCAUCUGAUACUGGCAAGCUUGAGUCUCGUAGAGGGGGGUAGAAUUCCAGGUGUAGCGGUGAAAUGCGUAGAGAUCUGGAGGAAUACCCGGUGGCGAAGGCGGCCCCCUGACGAAGACU